rnacentral:rRNA from 1 species
GAUGAACGCUGGCGGCGUGCCUAAUACAUGCAAGUCGAGCGAACAGACGAGGAGCUUGCCUCUCUGACGUUAGCGGCGGACGGGUGAGUAACACGUGGAUAACCUACCUAUAAGACUGGGAUAACUUCGGGAAACCGGAGCUAAUACCGGAUAAUAUAUUGAACCGCAUGGUUCAAUAGUGAAAGACGGUUUUGCUGUCACUUAUAGAUGGAUCCGCGCCGCAUUAGCUAGUUGGUAAGGUAACGGCUUACCAAGGCAACGAUGCGUAGCCGACCUGAGAGGGUGAUCGGCCACACUGGAACUGAGACACGGUCCAGACUCCUACGGGAGGCAGCAGUAGGGAAUCUUCCGCAAUGGGCGAAAGCCUGACGGAGCAACGCCGCGUGAGUGAUGAAGGUCUUCGGAUCGUAAAACUCUGUUAUUAGGGAAGAACAAAUGUGUAAGUAACUAUGCACGUCUUGACGGUACCUAAUCAGAAAGCCACGGCUAACUACGUG